CGCAAUGGGCGAGAACCUGACGGAGCAACGCCGCGUGAGGGAUGAAGGCCUCUGGGCUGUAAACCUCUUUUCUCAAGGAAGAAGAUCUGACGGUACUUGAGGAAUAAGCCACGGCUAAUUCCGUGCCAGCAGCCGCGGUAAUACGGGAGUGGCAAGCGUUAUCCGGAAUUAUUGGGCGUAAAGCGUCCGCAGGCGGCCUUGUAAGUCUGUCGUUAAAGCGUGGAGCUUAACUCCAUUUCAGCGAUGGAAACUACAAGGCUUGAGUGUGGUAGGGGCAGAGGGAAUUCCCGGUGUAGCGGUGAAAUGCGUAGAUAUCGGGAAUUAAUAGGACUCCCUAUAGGGCGAA
rnacentral:rRNA from 1 species